GAUAGAGAGAGAUGGAGGGAAGGAGUGGUAGGGGAUUGAUAGAGAGAGAGAGAGAGAGAUGGAGGGAAGGAGGAGUGGUAGGGGAUUGAGAGAGAGAGAGAGAGAUGGAGGGAAGGAGUAGUGGUAGGGGAUUGAUAGAGAGAGAGAGAGAGAGAGAGAGAGAGAGAUGGAGGGAAGGAGUAGUGGUAGGGGAUUGAUAGAGAGAAGACUUAAUCAUGGAUUGAAUGCGGUAGGAAGGCAAAGGAGGGAAGCAAGCCUGUAUGACAAACUGUUCUCAUUUGGAUAGCAGCUACAUUGCAGUGCGGCGAUUGCACGUGCUCAAAAGACCAAGCAAACAGCUGAAAGUGUUAUUUGACGUCUGCCCAGACAACAUUUCUAGAAUUGAAAAGUCACAUUAAGGGUUUUGGUGAAAUAGGUAGUGUAAGGUUUCAGAUCGGAAAACCAAUGCUUGGAAAGGAUGGAUAAGGUGGUCUGUCAAAUAAAGUGUAGGGAUUUGUAACUAACAAAGAGAGUAUGGUUUAGGAGCUAUCUCAAAUAAAGUGUAGGAUUUGUAACUGUAACAAAGAGAGUAUGGUUCAGGAGCUAUCUCAAAUAAAGUGUAGGGAUUUAUAACUGUAACAAAGAGAGUAUGGUUCAGGAGCUAUCUCAAAUAAAGUGUAGUAUUUAUAACUGUAGCAAAGAGAGUAUGGUUCAGGAGCUAUCUCAAAUAAAGUGUAGGGAUUUAUAACUGUAACAAAGAGAGUAUGGUUCAGGAGCUAUCCCAAAUAAAGUGUAGGGAUUUAUAACUGUAACAAAGAGAGUAUGGUUCAGGAGCUAUCUCAAAUAAAGUGUAGGGAUUUAUAACUGUAACAAAGAGAGUAUGGUUCAGGAGCUAUCUCAAAUAAAGUGUAGGGAUUUAUAACUGUAACAAAGAGAGUAUGGUUCAGGAGCUAUCCCAAAUAAAGUGUAGGGAUUUAUAACUGUAACAAAGAGAGUAUGGUUCAGGAGCUAUCUCAAAUAAAGUGUAGGGAUUUAUAACUGUAACAAAGAGAGUAUGGUUCAGGAGCUAUCUCAAAUAAAGUGUAGGGAUUUAUAACUGUAACAAAGAGAGUAUGGUUCAGGAGCUAUCCCAAAUAAAGUGUAGGGAUUUAUAACUGUAACAAAGAGAGUAUGGUUCAGGAGCUAUCUCAAAUAAAGUGUAGGGAUUUAUAACUGUAACAAAGAGAGUAUGGUUCAGGAACUAUCCCCCUUUAUUUGCCCCUUAAUGGAUUGCCAUAGCUUCUGAAUGGAAAAAAUGGAACAUCUGUUUGGCAGUUUGGAGAACAUGUAGUUUGUCGUAUCAAAAUGUUAUUAACACAUUUAGACACAUUAUAUCAAUACAUUUAGUGUCCUAUUUCAGGGCUUGUAGAUUAUAGAUGUAUCUCGUUAUGAAGAUUACUGUGUUACCAUGCUUUCAUUUGGCCAUCAUUAGGCUAAGAGUAUCAUUUCCAUUGGCACUCUAAUCUACAUCCAGUGUAUAUGUAUAGUGUAUUAGUGUGUAUAUCUGCGUUUAGAGGCUGGGAGAAGAAAGAAGGAGUGAUUGGUGUUUUUAGUUGGUAACUGGCCAUGUUGCUGAGGAGAAACAUGCAGGCCUGCAGGUACCUUCAUGGUAUUUGGAUGACUUAUUAAUAAUAAUAAUUAAUAUUUAUUAAUAAUAAUAUAUAUAAUAAUAAUUAUUAUUAUUUGGAUGACUGGUCAUAAUUUCACUUAUAAUUUCAUAAUUUAAUUUGCCCUCCUAUCUUUUUUUUUUCUCUCUUAAUGACAUUCAGCAUUUCAGAUGAGGUAAAGACCUUACAUUAGGGGUAGAAAGUAGAAACGUCCCUGUAAUCAGGACCUGUACUGGACAGCAGCUGACCAACACGACCCCCCACCCCCUAAACCUAACUGUUAUGGUUCAGGAGACCUUCUAUCAAUCUUGUGAUGUUUUUUUAAUACCAGCUGCAUAUAUGGCUAAUUGGUGAAAGCAUAAAUGGUGGCAAACUGUUGGAUAUAAUCAUUUUGAAGCUCUUCUUAUUAUAUUUGGCAAAACGAAUCUAGAGUAGAAACUUGGUAGCCUGACGUUGUCAUACUCAUAAUUCUAGUCAGAAUAUGAGUCUGAUACCGCUCCAUUGGGCUGUGAUUAUGGGGCGUGUUUCAACCGAACCAGGAAAAAAAAUGCCUCUUCGCUCAAUUGGAUAGACCUACAACCAAUCAGAGCAACGUAGUAUGUGACCAGGGCCAGCUGAUAAAUUAAACUUUUACCGAAUCCCGUAGGAAGGACGGCAAAAACAUCUUUUCGAUCGACAAAUGCCUUGAUCACGUUUCUCUGUUCCUCUUUCAAAAUGAAUGCGCUGUCGAUGUCUUCUAAAACAGACUUGAUGGCAGAAUCUAUCUACACUUCUCAGCUCUCCAGCGGCAGCCAUGUUUGUUGAAAACGAAUUCAACCCAAGCGCUCUUUGGUGACGUGGUUGAUUACGUUACUGUUGAUCAUCUGUCCAUCAUCGUAUAAAGCCCGCCCUGACAAUUCGAUUGGUCCGAACCAAUUUUUGAUCGGAGAUAGUUUUUUUCCCCCAACGGAUCAAUGCCAGACCGAACUUCCCGACCUCAAAUGUUGUGGGCGGGGCUAAGUUCGUGCUGGCACCCAGGCUGGUGUCUUUGUGCAGAAGGCUAUCAGGUCCUGGCAAACAGCCUUAAAUCUUUUCAUCAUAAAAGCGUAUGUGUUUCACUUGCUAAGGGGUGAAAUGGAAGAUGUUAAUCCUACUGAUUUUGUAGAUCUGAUCCUCCUGUUUUUACAUAAAAAAAUGACCCCUUAGUUAGAGGCACAGCAUCAACUAUGCAUGUUCAAACUAGACCUCUGGGUAAUGUCUGAAGAACAAGGUCCAGAGAAGGCUCAAAGUAAUGCUUUCACACAUGCAUCCUAGGACGUCAAGGGUGAGACGUUCACACAGGUGAAAAUGAUCUAAGUAAGUAAGACCUAUUUAAGCUAUAGUAAGGGUUUUUACUGCUCAACCAAGUCCCGUUGGCUAGUCACUGGGGUAAACGGCUGUUGCAGUUUCAAUGCUAAUGAUUUAUCAGAGGACUCCUAUUGGUAAAACAUUAGGCCUACGUAAGUGUUUUCAUUGCAUUUGUAAUGUAAAAAUCUGUGGACUCAUAGAAUGGAAAUCAUUGCUUCGUUUGGUAGAACUUUCUGGAUGCUCAGUGUCUCAACAUUCAACACCACAAACAGGAAAUAGAAUAGUGUGUGCUCGGUUAUGCCUUCUGCCUAGCAGAAAAAAAAACGUUCUUUUCUGUCCUUCACCGAGAUCUAAAAAGGAACAAUGAAAUGUCUGUUGAGAUUAGUGCACCCAUAAGAAAAUGAUUUUAAAAUGUUUUAAACCGUAUCCAGUGGUCCCAUAAGCUACAUGGGUUCCAUGUAUGGGCUGUGCCAGGCUUCCCAGCAGGAUGGUUGGAUGUGACCAGGACUCUAGAGUCUAGCCAGAAUACCCAGUUGGAUGUGACCAGGACUCUAGAGUCUCGCCAGAAUGCAUCAGAUGACUUAAAUUAGUGUUAGCAGUUUCCCCCCGUUUGGAUGUCUGUCAUUUCUGCAGCUGCAGAAGGAGAAGGAAAAGCGCCUGACUGGCAAACAUGCACAAGAUGUCUCACUUUCAAGAUGGCUCACUUUCAAGAUGGCUCACUUUCAAGAUGGCUCACUUUCAAGAUGUCUCACUUUCAAGAUGGCUCACUUUCAAGAGCGCUCUUCCUUUUGGGAGGAGGAAGCGGGUGGCUUAACUGAAAAAGAGUUUAUAAGGGUGUAAAGCCCAAACAGGCUAUUUGACAAUAGAGACAAGUACUAGUACACUUUCCUGACUCUUUUAGUGUCGUAGUGUCACUAUCAAUUCUUGUAUUCUGUCUGUGAGCAGAACAUUGCAACUGCAACAGCACAACUUUUAAAUAUGCUUGAGUGUAAACCAGUGGGGUUAGUUUAGCCAUAGUUUUGCCUUUUGUUGUGGCCAUGCCAUUUGCAUUAGGCUCCAGGCCAUGCUCUGUGGGUCCUGAUAAAAGUUGCCCUCCCUUGCUCUCUCCCUCUCUCCCUCUCUCCCUCUCUCCCUUUCUUCUUGUGCUUGAGUAGCUGUGGCAGAGACAGAGCAAGAGGCCCAAUCAACAGACGAGUGCAGGCUUCUUCUUGGAAUGUAGGCAGAGAACCGGCUGAUCUUGUCUGUUAGGAUUCUCGUUACUGAAGUGUCUCUCACUCUCUCUGUCACACACACACACACUCUCUCUCCCUCUUUCUCCCUCCCCUUGAACUAGAGCAUGUUUUUAAGUCAGGUAUUUUAUUUCUCCCAUCCCUUUUUAUAUUUUUCCAAGCGUUAUUUCUCUCCUGCUUGUCAAACUAUCUUCCUCCUUUCCUCAAUUAUCACAUUGUUCUGUCAACCAGCGAUGUUUUCCAACCAAUGCUCUGCAGUAACUGAUCCAGAGACUUGAUAUGUGUUGGACAGACACACAAGUCAUAGGGUCAGCUGCUCUGAGACCAGUCACCUGCACUUGUCUUUGCCUGUGAAGCCUUAUGGGAACUGUAAAGCAGCCCUUUUUACACACACACACAUGUGCUGGCCUACACACACACACAAAAGCAGAGAGGCCAUACACAGCCUCGUAAACUUUUGGUGUGUAGUUUGGCACAUGCAAGAAGUAGUUGAAGGCCAAAUCCUUGAGCUGGAAUACACAUGUUACUACCAUGUAAAAGACAUGCUCCCUUUUUGAUCAGGCCAUG
ensembl:lncRNA